rnacentral:rRNA from 1 species
AUUGAACGCUGGCGGCAUGCCUUACACAUGCAAGUCGAACGGUAACGCGGGGCAACCUGGCGACGAGUGGCGAACGGGUGAGUAAUAUAUCGGAACGUGCCCAGUCGUGGGGGAUAACUGCUCGAAAGAGCAGCUAAUACCGCAUACGACCUGAGGGUGAAAGCGGGGGAUCUUCGGACCUCGCGCGAUUGGAGCGGCCGAUAUCAGAUUAGGUAGUUGGCGGGGUAAAGGCCCACCAAGGCGACGAUCCGUAGCUGGUCUGAGAGGAUGAUCAGCCACACUGGAACUGGGACACGGUCCAGACUCCUACGGGAGGCAGCAGUGGGGAAUAUUGGACAAUGGGCGCAAGCCUGAUCCAGCCAUACCGCGU